rnacentral:rRNA from 1 species
CUUAUCAUGCAGUCGAGCGAAGCUUUUCAGUAGUUUACUACAGAAAAUGACUGAGCGGCGAACGGGUGAGUAACGCGUGAGCAAUCUACCUUAGUUACAGGGAUAGCCCGAGGAAACUCGGAUUAAUACCUGAUAUUCUUUAUUUCUCGCAUGAGAAUAAAAGGAAAGGUCAGCCGAACUAAGAUGAGCUCGCGUUCUAUCAGCUAGUUGGUGAGGUAAAAGCUUACCAAGGCUACGACGGAUAGCUGGUCUGAGAGGACGAUCAGCCACACUGGGACUGAGACACGGCCCAGACUCCUACGGGAGGCUGCAGCAGGGAAUAUUGUGCAAUGAACGAGAGUUUGACACAGCGACACCGCGUGUGGGAUGACGGAUCUAGGUUUGUAAACCACUUUCAGGAGGGAAGAAAAUGACGGUACCUCCACAAGAAGCCCCGGCCAACUACGUGCCAGCAGCCGCGGUAAUACGUAGGGGGCGAGCGUUGUCCGGAUUUAUUGGGCGUAAAGAGCUCGUAGGCGGUUCAACAAGUCGGUCGUGAAAGUUCAGGGCUCAACCCUGAAAUGUCGAUCGAUACUGUUGUGACUAGGAUACGGUAGAGGUGAGUGGAAUUCCGAGUGUAGCGGUGAAAUGCGUAGAUAUUCGGAGGAACACCAAUUGCGAAGGCAGCUCACUGGACCGCUAUCGACGCUGAGGAGCGAAAGCUAGGGGAGCAAACAGGGUUAGAUACCCUGGUAG